rnacentral:lncRNA from 1 species
GCGCCGGCCCCAGCCAAUGGCGGUGUUGCGGUGCGCCGGGACAGCCCCGCGCCGGCACCGCGGUCCUGGCGGGGGCUCCGGAGCCCCAUAGUUCCCUUCCCCGCUGCUGCCGAGAAGCACGGCGGCACUACCGCGACCCGCACCGCGCCCGCCCGGCGGUGCCGCGGCGCCCCGGUGCAGGAGCAGCCCCGCCGGGGAGCGCCGGCCGCUGCCAGCCCGGCUGCUAACGGCGGCGGCCCAGGGCAGCCGCGGCUCCCAUCCCGCCUGCCGCGCCCGGUACGGAGCCAGGCGCGCAGCCAGGGCGCCCGUGAUGGGCGACAAGGGCGGGUGCACCCGCGGCAGCGAGGGAAGGGCUCUUCCCCGCGAGUCCCGAUCACGGUUCACAGCAAGCACCGUCCCCGGGGCUCGACGGGGCAGCAGGAAUCUCAGUCCACACACGGUGUUUGGGUCUUCUGAAACUUGGCGAGGUUCGCUGACAGAAGCGCCACCGCAGGCACCGGCCCGUGACUUACCCGGACACCGCGCGCAGAAAGCGCUCUUCUGGUUUUCAUCACUCGCACCUAAGCAGAGUAGAAAGGAAUGCAGCUCUUACCAUCCAAAUGCACUUCCAUAAAGAGACAAAGUGUUAUUAGCUUGAGAAUUCGUGGUAAAAAACUAUUAAAAGCUGAGGACUGAUUUAGCAAUACACUGAAACUCCCAGAUGUCCUCUAAAGUACUCGGCAGCUCCAUGCUAUUGCCUCCCCAUAUUGUCUAUUUUGCUCUCUUUGCCAAACACUCAGGAGAUAAUUUGCGCGUUGUUGCUCAACCCCCUCUCAACCAACCAGUAACACUGUAUCUGCCAAAAUAAAGUCUAGUACAUGGAAAGCAACUGCGUCUGGGGAAUAUGGGUUGAAAGGCAAGCCAAACACAUUCGGAUAAACAUUCAGGUAUGGUUGAAGUUCCUCAGAAGUAUAAAUUACUUGGAAUUAUUUGGGGGGAAAAAAACCAAACCAAACCAAACCAACAACCAAAAAAAAAAAAAA